rnacentral:rRNA from 2 species
UUGGCUGUGCUCGCAAGAGAACCGGAACACAGGUGCUGCAUGGCUGUCGUCAGCUCGUGUCGUGAGAUGUUGGGUUAAGUCCCGCAACGAGCGCAACCCUUGUCAUUAGUUGCUACGAAAGGGGCAACUCUAAUGAGACUGCCGGUGACAAACCGGAGGAAGGUGGGGAUGACGUCAAGUCCUCAUGGCCCUUAUGGGUAGGGCUUCACACGUCAUACAAUGGUCGGGACAGAGGGUCGCCAACCCGCGAGGGGGAGCCAAUCCCAGAAACCCGAUCGUAGUCCGGAUUGCAGGCUGCAACUCGCCUGCAUGAAGUCGAAAUCGCUAGUAAUCGCGGAUCAGCAUGUCGCGGUGAAUACGUUCCCGGGUCUU